GGGCCGUUAGCUCAAUUGGCAGAGCAGGUGCCUUUUAAGCACAAGGUUACAGGUUCGAUUCCUGUACGGCCCA
rnacentral:tRNA from 1 species